GGGGGCGUAGCUCAGCGGGAGAGCGCCUGCUUUGCAAGCAGGGGGUCGCCGGUUCGAAUCCGGUCGCCUCCACCA
rnacentral:tRNA from 1 species